rnacentral:lncRNA from 1 species
GCUAACGGAGCGUGUUGGUGUGAGAAGUGUUGUAGAUGUAGAUGACAGAUGAAGAAAAAUUUUACAAUUUGACAAAACACCGCUAAGGUGCAGAUGUAGUACUGAGUGCCAACGAGUUCCAUUCUCGUUGAAGGUAAAAUGGUGUUAGAAAUACAGACCUCGAAAAAUAUAGAUAAAGUGGGAUGAUGCGGAUCUGCGGGAAAAGAUAUCGGCUUGUCUCUUAAAACCGCUGUACGAGAGGCAUCGCUGACAAAGAUAAGAUCUAACAGUCUAUCUCUAUUAUUUCUGACAGAGUUAAUUUGAGCAAGCGAGACGUCAGGUACCCCCUCGACGAAAUCAUGUUGACUUUCAGGUAGCAACAUGUUUGAUUCAUCCUGUUGCCAAGAUAGAGAUAAGAAACAGCUCGGACGCAAAUGCCGUUUCCACUGCAAUAAGAACCCCACCAGCGAAUGAUGGACGAUC